GACAGAGGGUGCAAACGUUGUUCGGAAUUACUGGGCGUAAAGCGUGUGUAGGCGGCCACGUAAGUCGGAUGUGAAAGCCCCAGGCUCAACCUGGGAAGUGCACUCGAUACUGCGUGGCUUGAGUAUCGGAGAGGUUGGUGGAAUUCUCGGUGUAGAGGUGAAAUGCUUAGAUAUCGUCAAGAACACCGAUAGUGAAGACAGCUUACUAGGCUUCUACUGACGCUGAGGCACGAAAGUGUGGGGAUCAAACAGG
rnacentral:rRNA from 1 species